rnacentral:rRNA from 1 species
AUUAAACGCUGGCGGCAUGCCUUACACAUGCAAGUCGAACGGUAGCGCGGGGCAACCUGGCGACGAGUGGCGAACGGGUGAGUAAAGCAUCGGAACGUGCCCUGGAAUGGGGGAUAACGUAGCGAAAGUUACGCUAAUACCGCAUAUUCUGUGAGCAGGAAAGCAGGGGAUCGCAAGACCUUGCGUUCUGGGAGCGGCCGAUGUCGGAUUAGCUAGUUGGUGGGGUAAAAGCCUACCAAGGCGACGAUCCGUAGCGGGUCUGAGAGGAUGAUCCGCCACACUGGGACUGAGACACGGCCCAGACUCCUACGGGAGGCAGCAGUGGGGAAUUUUUGGACAAUGGGCGGAAGCCUGAUCCAGCCAUGCCGCGUGAGUGAAGAAGGCCUCGGUUGUAAGAC